GACGAAGGGGGCUAGCGUUGUUCGGAAUUAUUGGGCGUAAAGCGCGCGUAGGCGGUUACUCAAGUCGGAUGUGAAAGCCCUCGGCUUAACUGAGGAAGUGCACCCGAAACUGAGUAGCUAGAGUACUAAAGAGGGUCGCGGAAUUCCCGGUGUAGAGGUGAAAUUCGUAGAUAUCGGGAGGAACACCGGUGGCGAAGGCGGCGACCUGGGUAGAUACUGACGCUGAGGCGCGAAAGCUAGGGGAGCAAACGGG
rnacentral:rRNA from 1 species